UACGUAGGUGGCAAGCGUUGUCCGGAAUUAUUGGGCGUAAAGCGCGCGCAGGUGGUUUCUUAAGUCUGAUGUGAAAGCCCACGGCUCAACCGUGGAGGGUCAUUGGAAACUGGGGAACUUGAGUGCAGGAGAGAAGGGUGGAAUUCCACGUGUAGCGGUGAAAUGCGUAGAGAUGUGGAGGAACACCAGUGGCGAAGGCGACUCUUUGGCCUGUAACUGACACUGAGGCGCGAAAGCGUGGGGAGCAAACAGG
rnacentral:rRNA from 1 species